rnacentral:rRNA from 1 species
AACGAACGCUGGCGGCAUGCCUAACACAUGCAAGUCGAACGGGAUCCUAGCUUGCUAGGUGAGAGUGGCGGACGGGUGAGUAACACAUGGGAACCUGCCUUUUGGUUCGGGAUAACCGCGGGAAACUGCGGCUAAUACCGGAUGCCCUCGCGAGAGGAAAGAUUUAUCGCCAGAAGAGGGGCCCGCGUCCGAUUAGGUAGUUGGUGGGGUAAAGGCCUACCAAGCCGACGAUCGGUAGCUGGUCUGAGAGGAUGAUCAGCCACACUGGGACUGAGAUACGGCCCAGACUCCUACGGGAGGCAGCAGUGGGGAAUAUUGGACAAAUGGGGGGCAACCCUGAUCCAGCAAUGCCGCGUGAGUGAUGAAGGCCUUAGGGUUGUAAAGCUCUUUUGCCAGGGAAGAUGAUGACUGUACCUGGAGAAUAAGCCCCCGGCUAAACUUCGUGCCAGCAGCCG